CUAGAACAAAAGAUUUAACAUUUUCAUCAAUUUAUUUUAUUUCCAAUUUUAAUUUUUUUUAAAUGUAAAAAAACAUUUUUAAAAAAAAAAGACGAUAAGACCCUAUUAAACUUAACUUAAGUUAAACUGGGGAAGUAAAUUAAUUAUUAUUUUAAUUAUAAUUUUUAUAAAAAUAUCCAAUAUCAAUUGAUUAAUCAAGUUACUAUAGGGAUAACAGCGCAAUUAUAUUUUAAAGCUCUUAUUUAAAAAAUAGAUUACGACCUCGAUGUUGAAUUAAUAACCUAAUUUAAAGCAAAAAUUAAAAAAGGAAGUCUGUUCGACUUUUAAACAAUUACAUGAUUUGAGUUCAGACCGGUGUAAGCCAGGUCGGUUUCUAUCUUUUAAAAAAAUUUCUACAGUACGAAAGGACCUAAAAAAUUAAUUAAAUUAAUUAAUUGGCAGAUUAAUGCAUUAGAAUUAGAAUCUAAUAAAUCUCAA
rnacentral:rRNA from 1 species